UACGUAGGGCGCAAGCGUUAUCCGGAAUUAUUGGGCGUAAAGAGCUCGUAGGCGGUUUGUCGCGUCUGCCGUGAAAGCCCGGGGCUCACCCCCGGAAGUGCAUUGGAAACUGAUGGGCUCGAGUCCCGGAGAGGAGGGUGGAAUUCCUGGUGUAGCGGUGAAAUGCGUAGAGAUGUGGAGGAACACCGAUGGCGAAGGCAGCCUUCUGGGCCAACACUGACGCUCAUGCACGAAAGCGUGGGGAGCAAACAGG
rnacentral:rRNA from 1 species